GGCCUCGUAGCUCAGCCUGGAUAGAGUACUGGCCUUUUAAGCCAGGUGUCGCGGGUUCAAAUCCCGUCGAGGCCA
rnacentral:tRNA from 1 species